CCGCCCCAGACACAAUAGCUGGAAAUAGCCUCAAGACCACAGAACUAGAAGAAAAACCUGGCACACUGACUUAAUCUCAUGCUUGAAAUUUCAAGAGGAAAUGAAGCCAUAUUCAAUAGCUGUUAAAAAUGUUCUGAUCAGUAUUCUAUCAGCUUGCAACUGGGUUCUGGGCUCUUUCUUUGUAAUACAAAUGUAAUGCUCCUGUGG